GUGCCUCGGGAAGGUCCCCCCGGGGCCGGGUGUCACUGCUCCGAAUUCCCUCCGCUGGAGAUGGGUCUCGGGAAUCUCAGCACAGAGAAGACUGAGGCAGGAGGAUUGCCAUAAGUUUGAGGACAUCCUACCUGAACUAUGAGUUGGGACCCUGUCUCAAAAAUUUGCAGCUGAAUCAAAAUUCUUGAGGUUAGGUACUUUACAAAGAAAAGAGAAUCAACAGUUCCCAAUUCUGGAGGCUGAUGGUCUCAGACUGUGUAGCCCAUUCAGUCCAGUUUCUGUGACUCAUGGUGUCAAAACAGGUCCCAUCAAGGCAGAAGCCAGAGGGAUUCAGGGAUGAGGCUGUUUUGCUUUGUUUUGGUUUACUUUGUUUAACAUGAUAAACAAAAACUGGCUCUCUCAAGGAUGGGGUGAUAAAUACAGUAACCUAAUUAUCUUGCAGUAGAUAAUUUGUCUACCUGUUAAUGACUCUGCCUCUUAGACAUCGUCCCAGUAGACAUUAUGCUUUCAGCCUGGUGAAUGUCUAAAUGGCUGAACACUGUUGCGAAGACGCCUCAUCACUGAGUCAUCCUUGCAAGUACCCUGUGGAAGAGCAACUGACCACAAAUGUGAACGUGGCGACACUGGUUGUGAAGAUACACAUUUAUAUCUCUGCCUACAAGAAGGAAUAGAAAUAAAGAAACCAAAGU